CCCCCAAGCGAAAACGACGUCGCGACUUGUCCGUCGCGUUGAUCACAAGGGAGGGUAGGGCUCGUAGCGUGGGAGAGGAACGGAGAGAGGAGCGGUCGGUGGUUAGGCGGAAGAGCGACGAAGCAGAGGAGGUUGCGGAACAGAGGCCGGCGGCCGGAGGGCUGGCGGGAUGGAGUGUUGUUGCAAAGGGCUCCUCGUUGCGCUCGCUCCGGUCGUAUGCCUUCCUCGCCUAGCUCCAGAACGUGCGACCGAGGCAGUCGACGAAGCGUGGCAAGACCUAAGCGCGGCAGCGUACGCUACCAAGAUCUAGUCGCGUCCAGUAGCGGCACCUUAUAGUCCCCGCCGCUAAAGAAGUGCAGCUCCCGACCACUCGACCCCUCCCAGUCCUCCGACUGUCCCGCACGUUUUCUCGUUGUUCCAACCGACACCCCCUCUCCGAUGGAGCCUCGAAGUCCGACGCGUGCGCAGUCCUCAAACCGCUACCCCCUCGUCGACGAGCCUCGAGCCGACACGUGUGGAGCACCCUAGACCAGAGUGGUCCGUGAGCUACAGCCGGUGAGUCGGAGUAGCCGUAGGGCUCCACUGUGUUGCUGCCGGCCGCGAGCUGUGGUAGAAAGCGCUGAGCUGCUGUCGGCCGAGUAUAUCGCCAUGUCGCCUGCCGCUGGAGUCGCCCACCCACUGCUACUGACGUCGACCACGUGCUCGAGAGUGAGCCGAGGAGCAGAGUCCCAGGUCUGACUAUCAACCUACGAGACACGAUCGCAUACCUUCACGACGUUGGUGAAGACAAAGCCGACACUCAAGUGACCUCCUCUCUCUCAGACCGAACGCUCAAAGCGGCUACGCCGGUGCCGCCCCUACGGUUUGAGGCACCUCUACGGUUUCUACAUGACCCUCCACCACGAAGGACCUUAGGGUUACGGAGGUGGAUAGUAGUUGGACGACAAUCGGGUUGUUUUGCUAUAGAGAGAGAGAGAGAGAGGGAGCGAGAGAGGGAAGGGUGGAACCACUGGAGUAAAUUCACGAAAACUAUUAACCACCAUGUUGAAAGGGAGAAACUAUGGUUGUUUAUGAAAUAUUGCUGAGAAUCAAACGUUAGGUAAUACUUUGUAUUUACUUCUAUUAUCUACACUUAGAAAACAAGAUUGCUAACUAUUUAUAAUUUAAUUUCAUAUCUCUGAUAACGUAUAUGUUAUACAUGGUAUUUCCUAUUCAAUUGGAAAAGAGAUGGUGUACUUGACUCUUGAAUGUUCGAUUAAACUAUUCUUCGUAUCAUGAACAUAGUAAGCCUUUUACCGGGAAGACAUAAGGUAAAAGUCCCUAUCAGGACAACACGAAACAAAAUAGAUUUUGAUGUCCCAAGAACACGUCAAGUCUACAAGACCCUAAUCAUUCUCAAAAUGAUAUAGACUUGAAGACUUUAAUCAUGCUCAGACUGUCGGAACGUUGGUUUGGUUUUGAUUUUGACGUCCCUAGAACACUGUCGGAACGUUGGUUUUGAUCUCUAGAACACCUCAAGUUUCGAUCGACGGUAAACAACCUUAUAGUCAAUAGAAUAAACACGUGCUAAUUGGACGAAUAGUACUUUUUCAUCUUAGAAAAUCCUACCUGGUAGUUCAACCAACCGUAAACAAAUCUAGAAAUACUCUUCGUCGAGGAGAGUCAACCUGAAAAGAAAAAAUAAGUAGAACCAUUAUACUCUUAUAUCAAGAAUCAAUCUAUAGUCAAUGUGUUAAUCUUGUGGUACUUAAGUGACAAAAAUAUCCUGGAACGACGAGACUUAGUCACAUUAUUUGAACCACAUGUUUUAUGUACAUCUAAAACAAAAUAAGUAGUUUAUUGUGUAGGUCUUAGGAACAAUUGUAACUGGGACGACUACGCUUAGUUACAUUAUUAGAGGAAAUACUAAGAUAGAUGGGUAUACUAGUUGAGUUAACUUAAUUAAAAGUAUAAGAUCUGCAAGACAAAAUAACCAACACCAAGACUUAUUAAAACCGACCAGCAACCUCGUCUUCGUUACUUCGAACUUCAAAUCUUCAAACCCCCUACCGUUGUUAUGACGAGAAAUGUGACGGACAGUAACAAUAAAGUACAAAGACUUAAAUUCAUGGCUCUUGAUUCACAGCGCACAACAGUUUGAAAUUACAAUACAGGACAGAACUCUCAAACUAAACCCGCUCACACAUGAUUUGAUGACAACCUACGAUACAAACUCAGUUCUAUACGAAUACACACUAGCCACAAUUUAAACAUUGUAUAACAAUAUAAACAGUGAACAAACUAUGGUGGCGAACAAUUGAGACUUUUUUUCUACCCCUUAUCUGCUAGAAAACCGUUUUCCUUUGCCGUGUGAUAAAAAAAAUGUACUCCUUUGACAUCUGACCACCCCUGAAGGACGAUUAUACUAUGUGAUUACUUACAUUACCCAAUAGACGUCAUAUGGAGUUAAAACUUACACUGUGCAGUACAUACAUAUGUGAUUUUUUAACUCUAACAACCAACGUCGAGGCAUCCAUCCCCAUACAUUAAUCAGUCAUAUAAAAAUUUGAUAAUCAAGUUGAAGAGUUUUAUUAAAAAUUACAUGUACAUCACAUAGAUUUUAAUCCUAGAAAGAAUGACGUGGUGGUUCAAAAGUCGGAUUUGUAAUAAUCGGAAAAUGGUACCACAAGUUCUUUCUUAAUACCCAGUAAAACAGUACUUCGUACUCUUACUAUUAAGGUGGAGUCCACCACUAUUUAAUUAUUUAAAUUUUGUUAUUACUCCGAUCGGUUGAGUGGAGGUCUUCCGAGGAGGCUAAGCCGGAAGCAGCCGGCAGCCUAGACAAAAAAAGUACGCAGACCUGGCAAAAAGCACGAAAACGAAAACCGUCAGUGGACGGAUAAACAUACUCUCUUAAGAAUAAAUGGAUUCCGGUUCACAUAACCACAACCCUAGGUCUGCUACUCAUACUACUACGGUAACUAAGUGUACUACUAGAACCACUACUCAUACUACUACGGUGAGUAUACAACCACACUCCUUUGAACCACUACCAUAACCACUCUCGUA
rnacentral:rRNA from 1 species